GGGCCCGUAGUACACCGGUAAUACGUCGCAAUGGCAUUGCGAAAUAGGGAGUUCGAUUCUCCCCGGGUCCA
rnacentral:tRNA from 3 species